UCUUUCCUUCAGUCACUCUCCCUCCCCCCUCCCAAGACUGCUGCUAUCGGAUCUGUGAUGAUAUGUGAUCUCCUGGAUACAAUCACACACACACACAAGUACCAGGCACUGCUGCUCAGCUGAGCAAAAUGUCUUUCUCUUAGAAGUGGUGCUCAUCACAGCUUUCAAAUCCUUGACGAUGUUGCCAUGCUUUCCUUUCUGCCUUCUGCCUUUUUCUGUCUUUGUCUGCCUGCUUUUCUUACCCGUGGGUCAUUUUUGCCCUGCUGUCUGUAGCUGUAUGGACUACCACACCAUAGAUUGCCGGGAUCAAGGACUCCCAAGUGUUCCUAAUCCAUUUCCAUUGGAUGUACGGAAACUUCUUAUAGCUGAUAACAACAUUCAGGCGAUACCAGCUGAUUUCUUUAUAUUUUAUGGAGAUCUAGUCUAUUUGGACUUCAGGAAUAACUCCCUGACCUCUUUAGAAGAGGGUACUUUUAGCAGUUCUACCAAACUGGUGUAUUUAGACUUAAGCUACAAUAAUUUAACACAGCUUGAUGCUGGGAUAUUCAAAUCAGCAGAAAAACUGAUAAAAUUGAGCCUUGGAAACAAUAACCUGGUGGAUGUGGAUGAGGCUGCUUUUGAGAACCUGGAACAGCUCCAAGUGUUAGAAUUGAAUGACAAUAACUUACAAAGCCUAAAUGUGGCAGCCCUAGAAGCGCUUCCCUCCCUGCGGACUAUACGCUUAGAGGGCAACCCUUGGGUCUGUGACUGUGACUUUGCCAAUCUUUUCAGCUGGAUACAGGACAAUGCAUCUAAGCUCCAGAAAGGUCUCCAUGAAAUCCAGUGUUCCCUGCCUGUAGAAAAUAGAAGAAUCUUUCUGAAUGAAUUAUCUGAGGUUCAUCCUACCAUGGUGCCUCAAAAUGAAGAUCUAGAUUUGUUUAUAGUUUGUAGCUUUUUGGUCACCCAACAUAAAGCCCUGAAAGCACUAUUUAUAUUUGGAACUUAGCACCCCUCAGAACAGCAAGGAACAGACCAAGCUGACACCCACAUAAUCCAGUGCAAGCCGAAGAGCAAAGUUUAGUAAAGCUUUAUUUAUGAAGCUGCCGUUAUGGAUACUCCAUCACAUCAAACUGAUUUUGCAAUACAGCCUCAGUGGAACAGCUGAAGCCUGAUGGGGAUGCUGAGCCUGAGACAGUCCGUCAUCCCUAACGGAGGUUCCUCUGUGGUAGGUUUCAAACCUGCAGGAGCAACUCUAUGCAGGACCUUUUACUGAUUCAGUAUGUGCUGCCUACCUGCUAUGUGAGUAAAUUACUUUAGUUUCCAGGGCUGCUCGCUGGCACAUUUCUAAGUUCAGCUCAUGUCCCCCAAAAUAAAGGAGCAGGGGUUUUGAUAGCUUUCGAAUCUGACCAUUCCUCUCAGAGAGCGACGUUUGCGUUUGCGGUGUAACCUGUUUUAUCGGCCUCUAGUGGCAGCUGAGAUGCUUUACUGUGGAGGUAAGUCGUGAUUCAUUGUGGUGAAGAUGCUGUUGAAAUGCUGAAUCCUUGCAUACUCUUUCCAAAAAGAAAACAGAAAUAUACAUUAGGAAAUAACAUUUCUUGGAGAGUAAGAUCUGCCAUGGACUCUUAGUGCCAAGCAGCCUGUAACAUGCAUGAGUCACCAGAAAUGUUUAUUUCAUGUCCUAUCUGUUAACAUUGGAGCAAUACAACCUUGUCAUAGAAUUGCAGAAAAUAGCUAUGGAAGAACCUCAAAUACAUCAUGUAAUGAUAGCUGAUGCUUUGUAAUAAAAAUACUUGGUUUUCUAAUCAGAUUCCCACUCUCAUCUUGCCGUCAUCAGAUCCAUUUUGUCUUGGUUUCUGUAUAUCUUUCUGUAAAUCUGAUAUUCGUCAUAUCUUGACUGUAUCUAGAACAGAAUCCUGGUUUGGUACUAUCUCUGCAUGGUACAGCAAUACAAAUCACCAACAGCAGUAUAACCAACCAGCAGACUAGGAAAAACACAGUUUUGUUUAUGCUGACCAACCAUCCAUCUAUGAUUGUAAAGAGUUAGCAGGAAAAAGCUAUUCAAUUUUAAGCUGACAGAGCAACAGGAGACCUUCUGUUGCAAAGCUGAAUGCCUGAAUUAUGAUGUGUCUCUCCCGUUCCCAUCAACUCUCACACCCCACCCAGAGCUCCAUAAAACUGUGUGAAAUUGUGUAACAUUGGGUUAGCAGCUCAUAAUGUGCUUUUUUGGGGGUUGUCAAAAAACAUACGAGUAAACACUUCAGAGCAGGCUUCUACUGUGAGUUUUGUGGGAAGUGAAAAGUUUGCAGGGAGGUGAGCAGCAAAUAAGGAGUGAAACAGCUUGGGCCAGAGUUGUUCAGUAGUCAAGUUUGCUUCAAAGCAGCGUUGUUUUGAUCUCAGAGCUGCUUUUUCACCACUUUCUGUUAGCAGUGGUGAGGUCUAAAGGUUAGCCAGUUCACACCCGGGUGUGAAGUAGUAUAGUCUGCUUCAAGCAGAAAUUGAUGUCAAUUGAAUUUCUGAAGUUUAAUACUCCCCACCAAAGCACCAUUUGCCUAUUUAAAAGCUUUGAUUUUAAUCUGAAAUGUGACACGUCACUUAGUAGGCUGUACAGAAGUUUCUUACCAACUCAGAACUGAGAAAGUCGAAAACAUUCAUCCAGACAACGGUGCUAGCAAGAUAUGGUUCAAUUGUUUCAGUAUGUGAGGUCAGAAUUCCAAGCUGACAUCACUGGAAUAUAAGCAGUUAGACUUUGACUCUCCCUUUUUUUACUCCUGGUCAUGCUACUCACCAAUAGCUAAGCAAAGUACAAGAUACAGGCAUUGUACACCACCUUAGAAUCUCCCCUUAGCUGGAAGAAUGAGCAAAAAAGAAUUGAGAAUUCAGCAGGAAAGCCAGCUUUGUGACCUUUGCUUAAAAUCUAAAUGUGAUACAGUCCAGCUGACUGACAUUCCAAGGCUUGGUGGUGUUGUGUGGGGGUUUUGCUCUUUAAUUAGGGCAAGUGUUGAAAGACUUUGCAGUAGAAAUAAUGUUUGGUCUUUGUGGUAUUUAACAGGGAAUUAAAUGACUGUGAACAUACUUGACAAACAAUUCUAGUCUAUUUUUGCCCACCAGUUUUUCUCAAAUUGAGAAACUGUCGCUCACUUAAGAGUAGAUUAGGUUUGCAGUCUGCAGUAGGUUAAAGUAUUACUCUUUAUCCUUUGAAGAUCUGGCUUCAAACGUGAAUUUGGGUCACAGGAGGAAAUGACCAGAAUAAAUCCCUUAAGGUCAUUUUGGUCAGUUGGGCAAAUGCAUAGAGAUGCUCUUAUUAACAAUAUGAACUGUAUACUUGAAGAUGGGA